UACGUAGGGGGCAAGCGUUGUCCGGAUUUACUGGGCGUAAAGAGCGUGUAGGCGGCCAGGUAGGUCCGUUGUGAAAACUCGAGGCUCAACCUCGAGACGUCGAUGGAAACCAUCUGGCUAGAGUCCGGAAGAGGAGAGUGGAAUUCCUGGUGUAGCGGUGAAAUGCGCAGAUAUCAGGAAGAACACCAAUGGCGAAGGCAGCUCUCUGGGACGGUACUGACGCUGAGACGCGAAAGCGUGGGGAGCGAACAGG
rnacentral:rRNA from 1 species